UUAGUCGAAACCAAAAAGAGGUGAAUUUUUGUUAAAAAUUUAAUUGAAAAACUCCAACUAUU
rnacentral:tRNA from 1 species